rnacentral:rRNA from 1 species
GAUGAACGCUGGCGGCGUGCCUAAUACAUGCAAGUCGAGCGAACAGACGAGGAGCUUGCUCCUCUGACGUUAGCGGCGGACGGGUGAGUAACACGUGGAUAACCUACCUAUAAGACUGGGAUAACUUCGGGAAACCGGAGCUAAUACCGGAUAAUAUAUUGAACCGCAUGGUUCAAUAGUGAAAGACGGUUUUGCUGUCACUUAUAGAUGGAUCCGCGCCGCAUUAGCUAGUUGGUAAGGUAACGGCUUACCAAGGCAACGAUGCGUAGCCGACCUGAGAGGGUGAUCGGCCACACUGGAACUGAAACACGGUCCAGACUCCUACGAGAGGCAGCAGUAGGGAAUCUUCCGCAAUGGGCGAAAGCCUGACGGAGCAACGCCGCGUGAGUGAUGAAGGUCUUCGGAUCGUAAAACUCUGUUAUUAGGGAAGAACAAAUGUGUAAGUAGCUAUGCACGUCUUGACGGUACCUAAUCAGAAAGCCACGGCUAACUACGUG